UCAGUGGCGCUGGCAGAGGAGGGGUCCGCGGCCCAUUAGCUGGUUGGCGGGGUAACGGCCCACCAAGGCGACGAUGGGUAGCCGGCCUGAGAGGGCGACCGGCCACACUGGGACUGAGACACGGCCCAGACUCCUACGGGAGGCAGCAGUCGGGAAUUUUGCACAAUGGCCGAAAGGCUGAUGCAGCAACGCCGCGUGAGCAAGAAGGCCUUCGGGUUGUAAAGCUCUGUUGCCUGCGAAGAAGGGCCCUGUCAGGAAAUGGGCAGGGUUUGACGGUAGCAGGCGAGGAAGCCCCGGCUAACUACGUGCCAGCAGCCGCGGUAAUACGUAGGGGGCGAGCGUUGUCCGGAAUUACUGGGCGUAAAGGGCGUGUAGGCGGCCUGUUAAGUCAGGGGUGAAACUCCGGGGCUCNAACCCCGGGCGUGCCUCUGAAACUGAUGGGCUUGAGUGCUCUAGAGGGCAGUGGAAUUCCCGGUGUAGCAGUGAAAUGCGUAGAGAUCGGGAGGAACACCAGUGGCGAAGGCGGCUGCCUGGGGAGUAACUGACGCUGAGGCGCGAAAGCUAGGGGAGCAAACAGGAUUAGAUACCCUGGUAGUCCUAGCCGUAAACGAUGAGUGCUAUGUGUGAGGGGUAUCGACCCCCCUCGUGCAGUAGUUAACGCAAUAAGCACUCCGCCUGGGGAGUACGGCCGCAAGGCUGAAACUCAAAGGAAUUGACGGGGGCCCGCACAAGCAGCGGAGCAUGUGGUUUAAUUCGAAGCAACGCGUAGAACCUUACCAGGGCUUGACAUCCGCCGAAUCCUGCAGAAAUGCGGGAGUGCUCUUCGGGAGAACGGCGAGACAGGUGGUGCAUGGUUGUCGUCAGCUCGUGUCGUGAGAUGUUGGGUUAAGUCCCGCAACGAGCGCAACCCCUGUCGCAUGUUGCCAGCACGUAAAGGNUGGGCACUCAUGCGAGACUGCCGGUGACAAACCGGAGGAAGGUGGGGAUGACGUCAAAUCAUCAUGCCCCUUAUGUCCUGGGCUACACACGUGCUACAAUGGCCGUCACAGAGCG
rnacentral:rRNA from 1 species